CGCUUCUAAAGCUGGCGGGGGCCGGGGCCCAGGACACGGUCUCUCCCUAUCACCCUGCAUGGACUUGCCCAAUAAAUUCCACUUAGUAAUUGCGCUGAGGCGAGGGAGAGCUGUUAGUGUCUGUUUUCUGACCUAAAUCUAGCGGGUGGCCAGAGCGGGCUUCAGGGGGUUGUGGGGAGAGCUAUGGGCUCAGGGAAUGACCCGGAGGAGGAGGACGCACACGGGACGGGGCCCGCGGGGCAGGAUUUGGGUUUUCUGCCGGGCUUUCUCUGAGCCUGUCUGCCCGCUUUGGGCUGCACCAUCUCCCUUGUUGAAAGGCCGAGACUGGGGGUUCAUUUCCCCUUAAAGUCGCCGGAUUCGGGGCAGAGCCUCAUGGAGGGCCUAUCCGUCAGCGGUGGCUUCCCUCGAGGGCCUGAGCCGGGGUUGGGUUCGAGGGAUUCUCUUUGGUGGUCAUCCAGGGCGGAAGGAGGCUGGCGGGUUGCGACGCUGCGAUAUGCUGCCCUCCCGGACCGUGGGGCCAGGUGCAGCUCACGAGGCACGCCGAAAAGCCAAGAACAGGCAGCAUGUUCUGUUUGUUGAUGGGCUGACCUGCUUACUGACAUAAAGAUGGGGAGCAAACGGAGGGAUGGAUCAAGGCCCUUCCUGGACACCUGGAGGAAGCUGUGGCGAAUGCUCUGGACGCCAGCACCCUCCCAGGAGCCCGUCUGGAAACGGCAGCAACGUCUCCGCUGCAAGCUCCGGAUCCAGGAGGUGGCGGAUCCGCCUUCCAUCUAUUGGAUGGCUCCCAGGCCAAUUGUUAGAAAGAGGCAUAUGUUCAUCUCGGCUUCUGGAGUGUCUCCGGAGCAGUUGCUCCACAGCCAGCCCCCUCCCCCAGUCGGACCACUGAAGGGCAGAAAAAGGAGCGCCCUCCGCCACAUUUCUCUGUGCCCACAUAGCAGAAAGGGUCUCCUUACUAGGGACUUCCUGUCAUCUCCGCUGUCCACCUUCUGGGGAGCAGGAAAAAGAGGGGCUUCAAGCACUCAGUUUUGGAGCACAAAAGCCACCCCUUUCCUGUUGGGGGAGAUGAGAGAGGAGGUUAGUUGCAGAGGCAGAGAGAGAGCAAAGGAGACAUUUGCAUUUCUCUGCAAAUAUGCCCUGGAUCACUGACUUCCCAGUUGGCUCCAGUCGAGCUCAGAGCUCUCCACUGAACUCUUAUCUCCAACUUGGUAACUAGACCAGGACCUUGUGAAGCAAGAAGGGAACAGGGGUGGGCACCCAGCAAGAACCUUCUGUGCGCCAGCAUUGGGCCUGGCAUGUUCCAAUCCAUCAUCUCAUUUAAUUCCCACGACAGCCCUGUGAGGUAGGGUUUAUCAAAGGUGAAACGGAGUCCCGGAGAUUUGCCCAAGUUCACACAGCCAGAAGGCCUGGUGUUUGAAUCUGGGUCAGGCUGACUGCAGUCCUUACUCUUACCCCUACACCUCCCUGCCUGGGAGGGUAAGGAGGCCGUCUACACAGAUGGUCAAGAAUCCGGGUUCAGGGGUCAGUCCACCUGUAUUUAAAUCCCUACUUUGCCAUUUACUAGCUGUAUGAUCUUAGGCCAAGUGGCUUCACUCUUUGGGCCUCAGUUUUCCCAUCUGUUAAAUGGGGAUAAUAAUGGUAGCAACUCUGUGGGGUUGUUGCAAGGAUGGAAGGAAAAGCUUAGCCUGGUUGGUACCUGCUGUGUAGUAAGUGGUCAGCAAACGCUGUGAUUGUGCCUUCUGGUUCUUUUCUUUUUGCCUCCUAGCCCUGCCCCCAGCUCGCACACUUCAGGUUCAAUAAUACUUGCUGACUGAUUAAUUUAAAAACCGGGCUGAGAGAGGAUGAAGGAGAUUUAUAAACUCAGGAAGGGGAGGGAGAGGAAAAUGCACAUUUGUUCUCAAAACCUCACCCUCCGGAACCAAGGGCUGUCUGAGCCAUGUGACAGGAGUAAAUUAGGGACCAAUAAAAGAUGAUCACUUUUUAGAGGAGAUCCCAUAAACAUGCUGAGUGGUCUCCAGAAACAUACUCAAUAUGUGUGUAGAAAAGUUAAAAAGCACAAGUCUUUGUUCAAGAAUGUUUGGAGCAGAAUUGUUUAUAAUAGUGAAAAAUGGAAAGCAAUCUAUGUGUCCAGGGUAAGGGAGUGUCCCUUGGUACCUUGACACUA